CGAUUGACAAUGCGAAGCCUGUCAGCAAUGCCGCGUGCAGGAAGAAGGCCUUCGGGUUGUAAACUGCUUUUGUACGGAACGAAACGGCCUUUUCUAAUAAAGAGGGCUAAUGACGGUACCGUAAGAAUAAGCACCGGCUAACUACGUGCCAGCAGCCGCGGUAAUACGUAGGGUGCGAGCGUUAAUCGGAAUUACUGGGCGUAAAGCGUGCGCAGGCGGUUCUAUAAGACAGAUGUGAAAUCCCCGGGCUCAACCUGGGAAUGGCAUUUGUGACUGUAGAGCUAGAGUACGGUAGAGGGGGAUGGAAUUCCGCGUGUAGCAGUGAAAUGCGUGGGGUAUGCGGAGGAACACCGAUGGCGAAGGCAAUCCCCUGGACCUGUACUGACGCUCAUGCACGAAAG
rnacentral:rRNA from 1 species